GGACUACUGGGGUAUCUAAUCCUGUUUGAUCCCCACGCUUUCGGGUCUGAGUGUCAGUGUCUGGCCAGCUACCCGCCUUCGCCUCCGGUAUUCCUCCUGAUAUCUACGUAUUUCACCACUACACCAGGAAUUCUAGUAGCCUCUCCAGCACUCAAGCUUCGCAGUAUCAAAUGCACUUCCAAGGUUAAGCCCUGGGCUUUCACACCUGACUUACAAAGCCACCUACACCCGCUUUACGCCCAAUGAUUCCGAACAACGCUAGGGUCCCUCGUCUUACCGCGGCUGCUGGCAC
rnacentral:rRNA from 1 species